CCUCACCUGCACCAGGAACUUCUUUCUAUUAAGGAGAUAUCGAUCGAAUAGCCUAAGGCUUAAUCAAGCGCUAACGGGCGUCCUUUUGAGAGUUAAACUACACCAUCAACCUACCUCUACCCUGAUCUCUUUCUAUAACCACCUCCUUCGAAAGAGCCAGUUUUUGCCUCUGUUGGAUUGAUCGGCUGCUAGCUUCUAUUCUCGAUCACCCCUCUCCCUCGCCCACAGCCCAACCAAUUCACAGACGAUGAAAAGAACUCCUCAAAUCCUAAGUACACUAAGUGGGUAAAGACGAACCAGUUGCUCGUUAGCUGGAUCAACGCCCGGAUGGAAAGGAGCUGGUCUUUAAUCAGCUGUGAAUCCUACCGAUGCCGAUACCGAAGGGAUUUCCCAAGUUGACCUUCUUUCUCUUUCGCUUAAACGAGCCAUUCGCGCCAGGCCGACAAGUAUAAGAUAGAUGCUCUCAAAUGAGAAAUGGAAUUUCAUGAUAUUUUUUGUUAAUUCCUUUAUUAUUCCGUUUUAAUCCGUUAGCUUCUUCGCUCUCUCUUCGCGCUCUAACGAAUCUCUGCUCCUUUGCAAUCCAUCAUCCAAAGGUAAAAAAGGUCAAUAGCCUAGGGCAAAGGGAAUCCUUUUUUCCAGAUAGUUCAACCCUUGAUGUCGGGCCAGAUGAUUGAAGAUGGUUCCUGCCAGCGUAGAAGUAAUUUAUAGGAUCCUUGCUACUUCCCUAUAGCGAGUCGAUCGAGUGCUUUUGUCUUCGUCUUCCUGUGGGUUUGACUAAUUGGAUUCCCUUCCUUAUACCUGCCUUCGAUUCGGUGUUAGCCUUACAUCCUUCCAAGCUUUUUGAUUCUUUCCUAUCUCUCUUUUCUGGAUUCUUUUCCUUUUGGGGUAACAGUCGAUUAUGCGACAGAGAGGCUGCAGCGGAUAUUGCGAUAACCGAUAUCGCAUAAGAGGUUGUCGUGAAAGAUUUCUUUUUAAAGAAACCACUUCUCUUCUCAAAGAAGUACUCACUUAGUCUCUAUCUAAACUUUGCCCUAAGGACUAAGAAAACGACUCAAAUUCAAUGAUUUGGCAAGCAUAAAAAGCGAUUCCAGUCAAUGAAGAUACUGUGAGUAACGGACUUGACUUGUUCGGUCAAGCGGAGGUGCCAUCGCUUCUUCGAUUGGAAUGCUAAAGCCUUCGAUCGAGAAAGAGUGAUGAUAAGGACAUCUAGUCUAAGUGCUUAUGCUUCUGCCUUUCCCUCAGGGAUUGUUGUCUGUCCAUCCCCCCUUGCCCGAGAGGGCUUUGAUAGGGAAAAAUAGCUAGGGUCUAGAGACGCCUUCUAUACGAUAUACCAACCAAGGGAAUCCCGGAUGGGAUGGGAUAUAUGAAUAGUAAGUAGGUCAGUUACACCAGUUGAGGUAGGACCAUCUUCUCUUUCGGGUGAGGACUGAAUCGCUUAGCCAACUUCGGAAAAGAGGAUAGGAAGGCAAACCGGGCAAAGAGUAGGGCUAUCGAUAUCGCCGGUGAAAUAUCAAUAGACCUAGGCGCAUUAGGAUAAGGAAUAUUCUUUAUUACCGGGUGAAUAUAGAAAAUGCGUCAUCUCAUCUCGGGACUCCAUUUUUCUUAAGUCAAAGAGGUCGAUGCCCGGUUAUUAAGUCAGCGAGACAUUCUUGCUUUUUUCGCCUAGCCUAGUUGAAAGACUAGCUCGAAUGGCUUUUUGAGCAAAUAAGCUACUACUCCGCUCAUUUCCGAUCCUCCGGCCCUCUGCCAUAUUUCUCCUAGGCGUGCAACCUCUAAGCCACAUUACCCGAGCCUCUUAAAGGGCUCUUUGCGAAGCAUCCAAUCUUGCCUUUUUUCUUUGGGUUUAAUAGGUGGUCAGUUGCAGCUAAAAAGCAGUCUCUUUUUCUAGUUCCCCACUCGUGUCUAACUGGCUAUUGAUGAUAAAGUCCUUUUUGGAUCUUUACCUGCAUAGCUUGAAUGAAAGCAGCGCUUGGCCACCUAUCUAUAUUCUUCGCCUGAAGUGAAGGCUGUCUCGGUUCUUUCGUGUCAAAGUGUGACUUUGAAAAUCUCACCGAAAUGAAUUUCAUUCCCAAAGCCACGGGCUUUUUAUUCGCCCAGGUUAAUAAAGUGGUAGUCCUCUUAUGGGUUUGAACCCUAGACCUCCCACUUAACCUCUACGAUAGGUGUAAGCCCCUUGUCCUUUGACAGGUGUGCUUCCGAAGCUCCUGCUCGUGGUACUCUUUGGAGGCGGCUACCCGGAUGCUUCAACUGCUUAUGCUUCCUUCACCGUUGGGCUAGGUCCCAGCCGCUUGUAGUCAUCUUCCCCAUCUCCAGGCUCUGACAAGACCUCGUGCAUUGAUCAGCUGUGGGCACGUCCGGAACUCCCAAGUGGGAUUGACUCUUACCCGCCUUGAGGAGUUAAUCAGCUGUGGAACUCCCUGCGUAAUUACUUCUUUCUCAACCAUCGGGAAUUGGACUAUUAGCUAGUCCGUCCCACUUGUACUUCUUUUUAGUUUAAAGGGCCCGGGGCUCUAAGCGAUUCAUUCCUUUGCGCAUGUUUCAGUGUGAGUGACCCAAUGAAAACGAGGACGAGGAGAAUAGGUCACGUCUCACCUCAAGGCUACUUUACAUAGCUAUGAUUUGAUCUAUAAAGAUCUCUGUUAACGAAAGCUAAUCUACUUUUUAUAUCCCGAAUGGAAUUUUCAGUCUCUUUCUUUGCUUUGUUAACUCGGAGUUCUUUCUUGACUCGAGUUCCGUCUUUCUGAAAAAGUAAGUUCGGAGUAACAACUCCAUUUACUUGGACUUCUACCGCUCCUGCUUUCCCUUUCGUAACAUCACUUCUCCUUAGGUCUAUUAUGAGCUAGUUAAGGAAGUCAAAAGGAAGGAAGUAUCCAUUCUUUGAGAAGAGAAGUCUAUUCGCUUUCCCGAAGACCUAUGAAGUCUCUAUUCAAACUGGAGAUCUGGUUCCCCUGCUUCUGUCCUAAAGCAAAGAGCCAAUGCCAGCGACUCUUCUAAGCCAUAAAGCUAUGGGCUAACCGGGUGUCGAACUCAUACCUUCUACUCUCCGUUCCUGGGAUUGGCUAAUGCCUUUUUCCUUCUUUUCUUUGAUACUCGGGUCCAGGAGGCUGCUGAGCAGGAGAACCCGGUGUAGAAGACGGAAUAGAAUCAUCCGUCCAUUGCUGAUCAACAAGAAAAGGAAUGGAUGGCACAUCAGAAAGAACCUAAGAAGAAUUGGCAUCAAUCCCACCUGUCGUUAUUUAUAAGUCCGAUUUCUAUCAUUACCAAUUGGGGUAAGUUCUCGCUCCUUCACCUCGUAAUCUCAUCUCCUCAACGAUGCGUUGAAUCGGGAGAGAGGAGAAAACAGCUCGACUGGUAAGUAAAAGACUGACAGGGAGGAUUCUUAAGGGAGGAAAGGCUCAACUAUCAACUACCUACUUCCGAUAAUGGCAGUUAACUCACUUCUCGUGCAAUCUAUUAUGACAGUAGAUACUUUUCUUAACUAAAGAUAGCAGAAAGGCAGAGGAAUAGACAACUACACUCCAUCGGGUGCCAUAAUCAAAUGGUCCCCUCACUCCCUUAACAUUACAGUUAGAGUACGAGGAGCUAUAAAGCCAAAAAAGAGGCUAUUAUCGCUAUCAGAAGUACUAUAAGAGUAAGAAGAGUAUCAUACCCGUCAAAGACCAUAAAAGAAGCGUUUUACUAUAGCCACUUUAGCCAUUCAAUUGGUUUAUAAGCUCACGUGAACCCCUAAACCACAGAAGGGGGAACCAUCAACUCCUCACAUUAAGCCGAGGAGACCAAUACCGCUCUAUCGGGUGCAAUACCUAUUGCCCCCUUCUAUCACUCCUGCCUCAUGACAUGGCGAUCACCCUUUAACCACUCAUCAAGAAAAUCAAAGAUAGAGAACCAUUGAUCGAGGAACACCCUGACGAAUGAGAUAGCCCGUGAAAGCUUUUCUAAUCCAUUCAAUGCCUAUCAUAUCUCUUUAUCUUCCCCACUCUAUUGAUCUGGAUGGACUGGAUGGACUACUGAACUUCUCCUUUCCUUGAAAACUGACUCCUAUUCUUGAUAUUCCUACUUUACGGGUGAGUAAACAACUAAUACUUUCUUUGAGACUGAACUUCUCUUAUGAUAUUUCUUGCGGGAUGGUAGAACGACCUUUUCUUCCUCAGUUAAUCGAUUCAAUUCCUUCUUACUCCCGAUCACUCUAUUUGAGGGAUUGAAUUCAAGGGCUGAGAAGAAAGGUUAAAAAAUUCAUUUUGAGUUAAGGUAUUGGUCGACUUCAGGGUUCUGGUCCACAGAUUGCGCCUAUAACAAGUUCUCCAAUGAGUUGAUUUGCUCACGAGAAAUCCUUUUAUUCUCAGUUUCGGGGUGAAACCUUAUUACCAGACAGAAGAGGAAGGAANNNNNNNNNNNNNNNNNNNNNNNNNNNNNNNNNNNNNNNNNNNNNNNNNNNNNNNNNNNNNNNNNNNNNNNNNNNNNNNNNNNNNNNNNNNNNNNNNNNNNNNNNNNNNNNNNNNNNNNNNNNNNNNNNNNNNNNNNNNNNNNNNNNNNNNNNNNNNNNNNNNNNNNNNNNNNNNNNNNNNNNNNNNNNNNNNNNNNNNNNNNNNNNNNNNNNNNNNNNNNNNNNNNNNNNNNNNNNNNNNNNNNNNNNNNNNNNNNNNNNNNNNNNNNNNNNNNNNNNNNNNNNNNNNNNNNNNNNNNNNNNNNNNNNNNNNNNNNNNNNNNNNNNNNNNNNNNNNNNNNNNNNNNNNNNNNNNNNNNNNNNNNNNNNNNNNNNNNNNNNNNNNNNNNNNNNNNNNNNNNNNNNNNNNNNNNNNNNNNNNNNNNNNNNNNNNNNNNNNNNNNNNNNNNNNNNNNNNNNNNNNNNNNNNNNNNNNNNNNNNNNNNNNNNNNNNNNNNNNNNNNNNNNNNNNNNNNNNNNNNNNNNNNNNNNNNNNNNNNNNNNNNNNNNNNNNNNNNNNNNNNNNNNNNNNNNNNNNNNNNNNNNNNNNNCGGUUGGUUGUGGGAUCACAACAUUUCUAGUUGACACUCCGGAACACACUAGACUCUUAUGUCCUGCAUUUUCUCGAUCGAGGAGUCACUUUCUUUUUCAAGAAAGAACUUUCUCCAAAGCAUGGUCUUACCCAAAUUCUUUUAGAAUGGCUGUGUUGUCUUGGUUCACUGAAGAAUUUCAAAAUCAGCCAAAAAAGGUGUACUACCUUCUGUUUUACGUGUUGGGAAGUACGGAAAGAGCGGAAUCGCCGCAUCUUCAAGAAAAAACAUUUGCCCUGCCCUAUUUUCCAAAUUCACCUGAUAGCGGCAAUCGCAGAAUUCUCCCAGGUAUCACUGAAGUGAUACCCUGGCUUCCACCAAGAAGGAGGCGGAGUUCUUUGCUCGUUGGUUACCCCUUUUUUACUUACCCCACUCGCUGCCUUUGGGUUCACUCACAGCUUCUAGCUCCCUUCCUGAAACAACUCCUUACCUGAGCCCAUAGGUGUAGGAAUCUGUCGCAACUGUAGUUGCUCUUUUGUCUUUAUCUAUCGAGCGUAUCGGUCCAUUCCGUAUUCCCGUUCUCUUAUAAAGAAUGGGUCUCUUCCCCUAGCCUCGUUGUCUCUAUAUCAAUCUCUCUCUCUGGUAUAGGCAAGGGCUCAUCUGUGAAUGAAUCCUUUUACUUUAUUCCUCUCCCAGAAGGUAAGGAACAAACCUUGAACAAGACUAAGAAAAUUGUCAUUUCCUUACAAAAAGAAGAAGCAACUACCUGCAGGUAGAAUAAAAUUGAAGACUAAUGGGUGUGCAAAAGGAAGCCCUGGCCCUCCUAGGAUUGGAGGGAUUGCAAGAGAUGACCAAGGCAGAUGGUUAUUUCUUUUUGUGGGCACAUGGAAAAAGCAUCAAGUUUAGCUGCUAAACUUUGGGCAAUAGAAAGACGAUUAAUGCUGUUGAAGGUUAUGAAAUAAAAGAUGGCAUCCUUGAAACUGAUUCUGCAGAAGCUCUGAGUCUGUUUACAAAUGCUGAGAUUGAGGAUCACCCGUGAAGAGCUAUGCUUUAUGCGGGUACCAGAUCAAAUAACUCACAGUGACCCCUGUUCACAGCCUUUGCCAAGGCUACUUUUGUGCAGACUUCCUAGCCAACAAUGAUAGACCUAUCAUACAUUUGAUACUAACUACUGAAGGAAGCGGAUCGAUCGAACCUAUAGUGAGUCCUCUUUCGAUCGAUUUCUUUCUCUUGACUCUUGAGGAUCUUGAUCGGCUAGGCUCCUAUGUGUUCUUCCGAACAGUUCUAGAAAAAGGCUUGGCCUAUUUCCAAUUCUUUUUGCCUGAGAGCUUGUUUGUGGGGGCUCAUGUCCGUAUUUCUGUACUUGAAUUACAUCCAACCUUCCUCUAUAUGCUCUUCUCUUAAUCCUUUAUUCUUGUUUUCUAAGCAGGGGUUGGAAGCUACUCUAGUACAUUCGCUGUCCUCUGGCAGCACAAUGCCAAUUCCGCCUUAAAGCCAGAAUCUAGUGGUGGUUCCUUACCCUUACAGAAGAGCUGAAUUGCGCGGGGGUGAAGGGGCCUUUCGCUCGGUCUUUAAAGCCUGGCUUUGCUCUUUCUUUAUUUUGUUGAGUGGCGAAGCUCGAAAAGAGCUAAAGGGGCGGAGAACCGCCAACUCCAACUCGAGUUGAAUCUUCCCGGAAGAAGGUCGUUUCCUCCAGCAAGGGAGAUGNNNNNNNNNNNNNNNNNNNNNNNNNNNNNNNNNNNNNNNNNNNNNNNNNNNNNNNNNNNNNNNNNNNNNNNNNNNNNNNNNNNNNNNNNNNNNNNNNNNNCGGUUCGAUCGACUUCUUUCUCUUGACUAUUGAGGAUCUUGAUCGGCUAGGUAGGGGAGAUCUCCUAUCCCAGUUUGGGCCAAGACGAGGAUACAGAAGUGGAUGGAGGGAUUGCCCUAAUACUUAAGUCAGGAUAAAAGGGAGAUAUGGUCUGGAAUAGGUAUGGGUAGGACUUGGAUGCUAUGAAGGAGUCGACCAAUACUUAGCUUAGGUAUUUGGCUCAGGAAAGAAGGGGAAGAGCGGAUAAGACAGAAUAUAGGUUAUUCGGCUCUUCGAUUCUCCCAUAUAAAAAGAGUUUGGGAAUACAGGGAUGAGGUGCUGGCACUUCGUCUAUGGGCAUUGUAGAAAGGAAAGGUUUAUCCGCUCAUAAUGAUUGUAGAGUCUUUCCGGGUUGGAGGUCUAAUAGUAGUCACAUCAAGUCCUCCCCCUCUUACUCAGGAUAGCUAGCGAGAGGAAUACUACUGAUUAUCCAUGAAAGAAGGCUUUGAAGAAUGAAAAAAAUCUUAUCUAAGGAUAGAGAGCCCCCGCCCGCCUUUUCAGAUACGAGCGAGUGAGCGCUUUUUCUGCUAUGAAUGAAUGACCUCUCCAUUUAUUUUCAAGCUUGCUCUUCAAACCGGCCUAUCACUCUCCUCUAUGAAAAGGUUCUUCCGUAAUCACUCUCAAUAAGACAUCUAUUCCCCUUUCAAAUGAAAAGAUAACUAGACCUUUCUCUUCAUCAUUGAAAUCCGCCAUUCAAUCGCAGUGCGGUGCUCUCAAAAAGCUCAAUCCUCUAACGCUGAAACGAAUAGAUCAGGAAUUCGACCUGGGAUCCGCCCGUUCCGAUCCUUGCUUACUAAACAGUUGCACCCCCGGAUAUGUAUGUUGGGAGAACCCCAGGAUCCUUCCGUGUGGAAGAGAAGGAAGAAAGAAAGCGAACACGAAUACUAAAAAGCGGUUCAUGAGGACCUCAAAAAAAGGGGAUAGAGAGCGCGGAACGGGCUUUCCAAGCAUAAAACAAUCCCUACAUAUACAUUCCAUGGCAACAGACAGAAGGCAAUUUUGUCGUUGUUGUUAACCCCAGGCCCAUUCCCGUUCCCAAUAAUCUCCAUGAAAAGACUAUCCUGAUUUCCGAACGAACCGAGGGAGAGUCCAAGCAUGAAAAAAAUUUUAUAUGCUCCGUAUAUUUCCAAGUACGUAUCAUCCGCUGCGUUAUCCACUGCUUUAUCCGCCGUCUCCGCGGCCGCCAAAAGCCUGCCCUCUCUCGGAUAUUGAGUGGGUUGACCCGGGGAUCCGGACGAACCUUCCAACAAGCAGAAUAGAAGUUGACCACAAAGCCAUCUCUGUGGGAGGCUGCUACCCAUAAGGACAUCUCGGGCAUGGGAAGGAAAGGCGGUGGACAACCGACUGAACUGGGGAGCCUAAACGGCAUUGAGGAUGAGUCCAACGGUCGACAAACGGCUUCUAUCUACAGGUGCUUUCAUUAUGGAUCGGUCGACUUGUCACGAUUGAUUGCUCACACACAAUUAGGUUAGGCAGGCUUGGGGAGGUGAUCUGAAUCGCUAUCGAUACGAUGCGGGGCCGGUUUGCUGACCGUAACGAACUUUACUCUGCCCCUGGAAAAAAAAAGAGCGGGGAGACCUUUGACCUGGGCUGGGGAGGGAUUGGGGUUGCUUUGCUUUAGGACUUUAGUUCGUAACAAGGCUCGAAGACCUCUGGCUGGAUUUGAAAUGGAUCAGGUAGGGCAUCCGUUUACGGCGUGGGUGGGAUUAGCAGUUUUCUCUAUUAUUUCCUUCAAUGGUAGGAAAUCUGCAUCCGCGGGGUAUAUGGGAGAAAGUCAGUCUGCAGUAACUCCAAUUGCUCCUUCGGAUCAAAAAUCUUGACUCACAUAUACCGCAGUGUAUUCUUGUCAACUCACAUAGUCGCACCUACCAGCAACAAUACAACUACUCCCUGCACGCGGACGCUAUUUAACGCCUUGGUUCGCCCAAUACAAGAACUACAGCCCAACCUAGCUUAAGGCUAAAGCCGCGGACUACGCCCCCGUGAGAGCCCUCUAUUUGACUAGCAUACCCCCUCCCCCAUACCUUCAUAUCAAAGCUGGGAAUGAUUUACCUUUGAAUUCAAAUAAUAGCGCAUAAUGGCAGUACUCCUUCCCAUUUCUUAUUUUAUGAUUUUAUCUACUUGAAAUGCUUACAGGUAAGUGCGGAGAAGGUACCUAGGGGACCAAACGAAACGGCACUGAAAGGUCUUUAAUUAAAGCUUCGUCCUGGCUAAAGAGAGUAAAGCAAAGCUAAAGGUAAGGAUUUUGAGAAUAUGCAACUCCCCUUUAGUUGUUGUCUUAAAUGAGUUCCUCUAUUCAUUUUACUUAUUAUGAGUUAGGAAUUUCUUUUUAUUAAAAACAUUUAGGAAGAUUGGGGAACUGUCUUAAGCCUGUUCAAGCAAGUGUAACGAGGGGACUCUCCCAAGAAAGACCCGAGUGAAACACCUUCCAGAGCGAACUGUUUGCUUUUGUUUAAUCUUCCACUAUUCUGAAUUUAUGCUUCGCCCUCAAGACAGAAGGUCGAUAUAAUAGCUUUUUUAGAAUACUUAACUCUUAGUCUUUUUUCUUCUUGCUCGUUUCCUUUAAAGCUUCGCCAGUACUGAAAGACGAGUAAAGAUUGCUAAAGCAGACUUAAGGAAAAUACCCCACCUUACCAGAUUUGUGACAAAAGGAAAGGCUCGAAAGACCUACUUGACGAGUUUCCUUAUGAGUGAGUUCGUAGGUGCCUUUCCUUUAAUUUAAGUCGAGUGUAGCGAAGGGAUUCUCCUAAGAGAAGCUUUAGAGGGAAUAGGGGUGAAACUACUUUUAUGAGCUGUCUCAGUAGUGACCGACUUUAUUAGCUGUGUGAUUAGUGGCUUAGCUGUUAGCUGUCUAAAAGCUACGGUCAAAAUAAAUCCCUUUUGAAAAGAAACCACUAAUACGCCUUAGGUACUCUUUUAGGUCCGUGUAAGGCAGAGGGAAUGGAAUGAAGGGGCCUGCUGGAGGCUGAAAAGCCGUAGUGCGCUAGCGCUAGCGAGUUAGCGCAACAACUUAGUGUCUUGUUUUCUUCGCUGCUUUUAUUAACAUAAGGUUAAACGAAAGCGGUUGCUAAUGCUUGUAGCUUGCUUCUGUCCUUAGUCAAUUUUGGACUGAAGCUGUUCUGACUGCCGUAUAUUUUUUGAACCGAAUACCUUCCUCUGUCAUCUCUGGUCUGUCUCUUUUUGAGAGAAUCUUUUAUACCCCGCCUGACUAUGAAGAGCCCUGAGUCUAUCGGGGGAGGAUGUGGUCGUAACCCCCGCAGCUUCGUCUAGAGCCGGGCGUCCAGUCGUGCAGGAAGACUAACCCUAGCCACUAUAGCGACCCCACCCCCAUCUCUUUUUUUUCUUAUAUAAAGCUCUUUCUUUUUACCUCACUCACUAUGAGGAAUUUUACCCCAUCUUCCUAACCUCAAUCUUAUUCCUCCAAAGCUUUAUCCUAUCAAAGUGUUCUACAAAAGAAUCCGAUCAUUGAACUCUUCUUGUAUAGGCCCUAUAUAAGCUUGAAUUUUAGACUUUAUAGGACUUAAACCUCUAGUAGGUAUGCAGUUGAAGGAAAAGCGCAGCAGCGGAAGCGUCAAGGGGAGAUGAAGUCUCAAAUACCAAAGCAAUUGAAUAGCGGGCAAAGGGAAGAGAAGCGGAGCGCGAGCACUCGUUACUAAGUAAAUGAAUCACAGUAGAUAUUUUUUAUGGGCCAUGCAUGAUGAGGAAGCCUGGUAUGAGCAAAGGAAGAAAAUAACACUGACAAAGAAGGUAGAUACCCAACUCUAGUUGAUGGAGCAAGGCUGGCGAAACCUUUUCUUAAUUUGUUAUCAAAAAUGUAUGUGAUGGUAAGGGCAACGAAAGAGGAAUGGUACUACCACUUGAGGAAGAGCUGAGGGCACAGCGAGGUGGGAUCGAAUCCAUUUAGUAAAGCCAGUUAUGGCGGAAACCCUACCCAAAUAUGAUUGUAUGGAACUUGUUCUUGUGUAGGUAGAGUCCAAUUAUGACCGAGUCCUCUAUUCCUGUGUAGGUAGAGUAGUCCAACUAUGAAUGUUAUGGACCAGACAACUGAACUUGUCGAGGGAAGGGGUCAGCUUUCAUUCAUUGCUCUUUCUAUCGGUAUGCUGAAACCACGCAUCUGAAAGUAAGGGUCCAUGGGCUGGUCUAUCCUCCUGGGACUUCUUUAUUCGUCAAUAUCUAUACCCCGUGACUUUCUUGCUCAAAACUAAGCCAAUUGACUCGUCCGAGUUCCUGUCAGGAGAGGGAACUAAGCAAUCAAGUAUAGCAGUGUGCGACGCUCUAUCAACACCUUGUACAGAGCGGUUCUCCUCUACCUUGUGAAACCCAACGGAGUCUGUCUGGCAGUUCUCCAAUUGUUUUGUCCUCAAAAUCUACCCGAUGGGUAAGUUCAAAGGUCUUUUCGAAUGGGGUUGUUGUAAGCCGUGGGUAGUUUGAUGUACUAGUUUUGGGUGCUGGACGUGUUAAAAUCUUGGAUAAGAAGGAUCGUAUUCAACACUCAAGGGUUAUACCUCAAGAGUUAGAAUCUGAAAUGAAGUCAAAGUAUCCUCACAUCUUCGGCAUACCAGGUAUGUACGUAAAUUUCGAGGGCGAAAUUUCAUGAGGGGAAAUUGUGAGACCCUAAAUUUUAUUAAUAAAUAUUUAAAUUUCUCAAAAUAUUUUUUUCAUGCCAUCAACUAGGGCGCUAUUGGCCACUAACCACUCGCUCGCCGGCCGCUCGGGCUCCGCGUUUCAAGUUCGUUAUCCUAACCGUAUCCUCUGCUCCACCGGGAGCCUGGCCCCUUCUUCUAUCUUAUCUACUGCCUUGCUCCUCGGCUCCAUACUGCUCCAGCCGCUCGCUGUAAUAGCUUGCUUCUCGGGUGGCUCGCACCCUGGGUGGUGCGGCUGAGCCAGAGUGGGCUCAGCAGUCGGCCUAUCUUUCCGGGCGCACGCGUAAAGGCAUGAUUAGUUCCACAAAUCUCACUGCACUGACCAUAGUAAACUCCUUCUCGUUGUACCGAAAUAGAGGUCUGAUUUAAACGCCCAGGUACAGCAUCACAUUUGACACCUGAGGAAGGUACAGCCCAACUAUGAGGUACAUCAGCAGGUGUUACAAUAAUACGUAGAUGAGUUUUGGCUGGUACAACCACUCUAUUGUCCACUUCUAAUAAACGUGAUUGACCCAAUUCUGGAUCAUCUUCUGGAAUCGUAUAACUGUCAAAAGUGAGUGACUGUUCAUCGGAACUGUUAUAGUCCGAAUACUCAUAAGGUUGGGUCGACGCCCGCCUCCCUCCAAACUGUACUUGCAAGUUUCCCCGCAAAAAGCUCUCCACGCCUACUCUUAGAAAGAACACUAUUUCUCUUUAGUUAGGUAGUUCUCCCGACCGUAAGACCCUUUAUGAGUAAGGGGAAUCGAAGGCCGGGGAAAGUUUCUUGGCAACAGGGAACCGUUUCUCACCCAGCCCUACCUACCCUAUGUAUUCGAGGGGGAGGCUGGAACCGAAAAAGACCUGGUUCCACACAUAUGAGACAGGCAGAAGGUAUGGGACGACCAGUUCACCACGGAAAGCGAAUUCGAUCCUAUAGUCGUCUUCUUUGUUCGAGAAAUGCGCAGUGGAAAGGGAUGCUAGUCGGCUCGGCGAAGUUGUAGGCCCCAAUAAAGAAGAUCCAGAGUGAUUCCUCACCUAUCCUGUCAGGGCCCCAGUUGAACGCUCGAGUAUAGAUUCCCUAUGCUCAUGUGAACGGCCGGCCCGUAGAUCUAAAAGGAUCCAUCCAUAGGCCUGACCGGAUAUCGUUUGUCCACAAACAAAACAAAAACAAAGUAGGUUUUUAGUAGUAGUUCAUGAGACCUCGAAUUCCCACGUUCCAGCGUGCAUUAUGCCAACGGGUCCCACCCCCAACUCUAGCUGAGAAGUUGAGUCACCCUUCUUUUUUUUCAGAAAAAUAAUAGAAUAAAGAAAGAGAGAGUCUAUAUCCUGUAUUGAUCAUAGGAUCACUCUAUGAAUAGGUCAAUUCUCUGUGACCUCCCACCGUUCACGACAUCCCUUGCUUCUCGCUGCGAACGGCUCCUCCUCCUUUAUCUUCUUCCUACCAUCCGGGGGAAAGGAUGAGACGGAAUAGCGUGUCAUUUCGGAACCGUUCAUAAGCCCUUGACUAAUAGAAAAGUAAAGGAGCGAAAAACUCUUGAGAAUUGGGCCGAAGGCAUCACAAGAUCGAGAGGAGCCAUCUUGAUUCGGACUAGAGGAGGAAGGAACCUGAGCCCAUAGGUGUAGGAAUCAAUCCACUGUCUCGUUGAUCACACCCGAGGAAUCAGUUACAGUAGAGCCAAAGGCAGCUAUCGCGAUGAAUUGUUACAAUGUGUGCCUCCUGCGCGCAUGCAGGUGCAGGAAGGAAGCUUCUGCACAGCAGACAAUGAAUCUAUGGGUCCCAUGCCUUGUUAGACGACCCGUGCUUCAUCCAAACAGGUGCCAGCAAUCCUAGGCGGAGGGGAGGGCUUAAAAGCGCCUUCAUCAUGUCAAGCUUCAGGCAACCUGUAAAGUUCCCUCACCCGGUUUUUUCAAUUAUAUAAGGGUUCGUUCCCUUAGAGGCGGCUAGUUGUGACUAGCUAGUACGGUAAACCGUUCUGCGGGUACAUGGCUUUUUUAAAGCGCUUUGGUUUUUAAGGCUUAUAUCCCUAACCUUGAGUUUCUACCCCCAUAACUGAUACAGGCCCUGUUUAAAUAAAAUCUCUCAGAAUACCCUAGAUAAGAGGGAUCCGUCCUUCUAUAUUCUUUCUCUGUUCAUCUUUUUCUUUCAUAUUCAUAUGCCUAAGUGAAAGCACCCUUCCCUGAAGCUUCCCUGCCUUGCUCUUCUAAGUCCGGAACUCCAUAACUAGAGGAAUCGGGACAGACUGAUAGAGCAUACCCGGAAUGAAGAAAAGAAGGACCAUGCCACUGGCAGACCAUCAUGGCACUGAAACAUAACAUAGCAUAACGGCGAGCAGGAAAUAUGAAUUAUUGAAAUGCCCACGUCCUCUUUGGCUUAAGCUGUGAACAUGCUUUCAAGCCUUUGACUGCUAACGGGCUAACGCCUUGAUUUAGUUUUUUCGAUAAAGGACAACAGCUCCCAAGAAGAAUCAACUCAGAGUAGGACUCAAAGGAAGAUCUCUUCCCGGGCUUCUUCUCCCUUCUAUGAUGAACUUUCUUCACUUCAGCUUGCUAGCGCUUGGCUUACUUUGACUAUCAGAGAGAGGAAUAGACAUCUCUGAGGUGCUACCAGUAGGUUGUAAUUGAGGACCUUUCUUGACCCUUACCCUUCAUGAAAUCUCCUUGGAAGUUAGAAGUCAGAAUAGCUGCCUUAAAUGCUGCUUACCCGAGAGCGGAUUCUCUUUCUUUUUUGCUCCUAGCUCGAUAGCUCAUCGAUGGUUGUUGGGAUCCCAUCCCAGGGUUUAAAGUACUGAUAAGGUUUGUCGUAGAUAAAUGGGAGUAGAUCAUCGAAGCAGAUUGGGUGAAGGAAGUCUCUCAGGUCGAAUCCACAGAGAAAUCUUUCUCAGUAGGACUACCUUUCAGUAGAUUCGCCGGCAGUAGGACUCUCUUAGAGUGUGGGAGUAUAACAGUAGCAGCAGUUAUGGCCCCAUAUCCCAUCCGCUGCACCGGACUCCUCUUAUGGUUCAGUACUGCUCGGGCCGGCUUCUUCUCGACUGGAAAGCCAAGCCUCGCCCACCCCCCGAAGGGACUUAUCGGUUUAGGAAGUUCAGUUGUUAAUGCGCACGCAUAUGAUUCUUUCGAGAUUGAAUAGUCGGAGGCGGAGACGGAAAACUAUUGAGGGUCACGCUCAGGUUGGUCCUUAUCAAAAGAUCUGGUGNNNNNNNNNNNNNNNNNNNNNNNNNNNNNNNNNNNNNNNNNNNNNNNNNNNNNNNNNNNNNNNNNNNNNNNNNNNNNNNNNNNNNNNNNNNNNNNNNNNNCUGGGUAUGCGACCUUGGAUUGCUGUUGCAUAUUCAGCUCCUGUUGCAGCUGCUGCUGCUGACUUCGCCAACUGGCGUUACCUGCGCUUUCGUGUCUCUCAGUGUGGUCAGCACUGGGUGUUUCCGAGCAGCGAGGGUUCUGGGGUUUCCACGCUUGAAAAAAAAAACCUGGGGAAUAUCACCCAAAUCAUUGGUCCGGUACUGGAUAUAGCUUUUCCACCGGGGAGGGUCACGCUCAGGUUGGUCCUUAUCAAAAGAUCUGGUGAAGCGGUAUUCAAUGAAUAUAUCGAUCAUAGCUGGUAUAAUCAUAUCUAGAUAGAUUGUGAGGGGAGCGGCAGUGAAGGGACCUUCGGCAUUCCAUAUCAAGGAAGCCUGCUUUUGGAGUAUAGAGAACGAAAAAGCGGAAACACUUUUCUGCCAAACAGAGCGAAGUGAUUCAGGGAGCUCGACUGUGACAUAGCGAAUAAACGCUUGUCACUUCGGCUAUUGAGAUCGACCGAGUGACUGGUGAGAUCCUAGGUGUGGUAUUCGAAAUCUGCUUUUCGUCCUUCAAGUCAGAACCUACUUCUUUGAAAUACCUUCUUUCUUAUCCAGUUCAAAGCGUAAGAAGCGUCGAUUCACCAGCCUCCGCAACAUCGAAACUGUGUAUGUAUUAGGAGCGCGACGAAUGGGGCUUCACUUGACUAAGAUAAAAGAAGCUCAAGCUGAAGCGUUCACUAAGCGAGGAACUUUCCUCAGUAGAACCACCUUUUCCUCUGAUCAGGCUCUUAAGGUCACUAGUCUCCACUUGAUCCGGAGGUCAGGUAUUUCAUUUAAAUUAAAGUUAAGAAAGAAGCAUUUGCUUGCCGUUCUUUUCUCUCUUCUCUAGGCCUAGCCCUCCGCCCCAUCUUACUAAUAAUGAAGGGAUUUUGAAAUCCUAGUAAACUUUUGUCUGACUUUGACUUCUGUGAUUACUCUACGCUACGAUAUUGAUUCUAAGGAAAGACAGAACUGCAGCCCAAUUGCCGUUCUAGGAGGGAGCUUGGAUGGUGAGCCCAAGCCUAUUCUUUCCAUUGAGAAAAUUCCCUUAGGCAUGGGACUGCUUCCUUUGCUACAUAUGCCUAACUUCUUCACUGGACGAAUAGGAGAAGGGUUUGGCUGAUGGACUAGUUAGAGUUUUUGGACGAAAGAGUGAAAAUCAAUCGAAUCAAAGACUUGUUGCCUAGAAGUUUUCAAGCUUAGCUCGUCUUUCCUGCUAUGAUUCCGAACAUAGUAACUAUUUAACGGAGUGAAAGAGCUAAAAAAGUCUCUGCCGUUGCAGGUCCUAUAUUUAGGAAUGCUAAAUCGGAACCGAUUGAAAAGUGUUCUUAGUCUGCAUCCAUUCCUUCAUCCCUUGAGUACGAUAGCUAUUCAAAGCAAAGAGAAAAAAAUGGUGAUAAGAUCGGGAUUUUCUGCUUUCUUAGCCUAGUCUGUUAACGGAGGAGAAAGGGAAAUCUCGCCCUUCGGGCAACACCAAGGCAAGAUCGAUUCAAGUACAAACCGAAGCCCAAUUGCAGCUACGCCUUUUCAGAAAGCCCUUACUCAAAUAAAUUCAAUAGCAGCUCUUCCCCCUUUCCUGUUUAGGAAGAUAGCAGCCGGUUUCAACUAAAGAGCUCAUUAUCUCUAUUAUUCUUAAGGGAAUAAAACGAGAUAAUAAAGAAAUAAGAAAAGAAAGGAUCAAGGGGUUAGCGAACGGGGGCCCCAUCCCGUCCUUCCUCUCGUCGUCGCUAUCACUCCAGCCUUUCACUUUAACCGGGCAUAGGCCCUCUUUCCUAAUUCAUCUACUGGUCUUAUCUUACAAGCCCCAGAAUGAGAGAAGGACUUCCCGAUAGGAGAAGUCUGAGCGGGAUCUUCAUUAAUGUUUUCUAUAAUUCAUAGGUACUCUUCCCGGUGGCUGAAAUUCAAUCUAUAAGGAAGAGAAGGCCAUGGUCAAAGCAGAAGCAUUAACGGAAAGAUGCGCUUGGUUGGCUUGGCGACUAUUAGGACUUUCAUAGUAGCUAAGAAGCUGCAAGAGAACUUCACACCUCCCAUAUUAGGGAGAGACACAAAGGGAAGGGAGUGGGAAGGAGGGCUAAGCAGGAACAACCAUUCCAACUAUCCGCUGCAACCAACCGACAAAGACCUUUAUCGCAGGUUAGAGGAAAGCAUAAUAGAGUUUUCUGCAAAAAAUCCGGUACGGCCUGACUUGAAAGGGGGGAAGGCUUUUAAGGACUAUUUGCUGCUUUCGAAACACUCCUUAUCGGUCCAAACAACCGCUAUUGAGAUUCUCUGCUGCUGGAGGGAACUUGCUUACAACUUCUUCAAUUCGAUUACGUUACGUAUAGAAGUGAAAAACGUAUGCUUGAUCCGAAUCUGAACAAAGAUCAUUAAUGGUGGAUUCUCUCUAUUCCGGAAUGAGAGAUGAUCGGAUUGAAACAGAAGAAGGAGGGAGGAGUUGUUCAUUCCUGUGUUGGCUGCUAGAGAGGAGAGACUAUUGAGGAGGGGUCCGGUUUCGAAAAAAAGAAAGUCGACUGAAAUGCAGAGUAGGGAGUCAGAGGAAUUUUGCUUUUCCUCUCGAAGAAGUCGCUUUUUUCAGUAGUUUGCCACGGGUCAUUUGCCAGCGAUGGAUAAGCUUUCUCGAUUGAAUCAUUCCCGGACAGAAUGAACGGGGAAAAGCGAAGACGCAUGAUGAACUAGCUCUCGGCUAAGGCUCGUACUUCUAGUGGCACCACCCAGCGUAGAAAACGGAAGGAAGUCGCUCUCCUCUUCUACCGCACCACUAAAAAGAAAAAGAUAAGAUAUAUUCUCAAUUUCAUAUCCGGAAAGAGAGGAGCUGAAGGCCUCAACCGAUAGGGAGAGCAGUGGCAGCUCCCUUACUUGAUUGGCAGGACAGAACAGACUGGCACUACUACUAGCUCAACUACCCUCUUAAUGGACUCCGCCGUUAACGGCUUUAUCAUGCUAUCUUUAUGUGUUGAUCCGUUAAAUGAAGGUAAGGAUAGCAUGUUGGUUUGUUCACACAGGCAGCGUGAUUGGGGGCUUCGCAAGGUAGUUAGUUUGUUCAUCAAACAGGCAUGAUUCAACUGCUGCAAACUAGUUAGUUUGUUCAUCAAAUUCGUGCCGCAUGGCUAUACUAUACACUCUAAAAAUAGAGGGUCUGCAAGAGAAGCCAUAAGCCUUCGUGCUCUAAAAGAAAAUCAAAGCAUUUUUGGAGGUUGCUGAACUAUGUCUAUGGCUAUGGCACAAAGGCUUGCUCAACUUGGAGAAGAAAUCGAACGCGUCGAGAACCAGCUCUUCUUUCCUCAUCCUCUGAGGUUACCCGUAAAUCUACCCUUCAGAUCUUACCACCGAACUUACCUUCUGCGCUCUUCGAAUUUCCGAUUCUACGGAAUGUUAGUUUUCAAUCUCAUUUGAGUAGGUGAGAAGUAUCAGGCUUUCAUCCGAUUUUUUGUGGAUGUGGAUUGGAUGAUGGAUAAAGCAGCGAGUAGGGUCUUGCUUAGGUUGAACAUGCAACUAAAGGGCAUAGUUAUGUAAAUGCAAGGGUUUCUCCAGCCUAUGAAAAGAAGGAUGGUCCCGGACCGACCUACCGUUAGCUUUGCUAAAGCAGUAGUACCAGGGUAAAGACAGGUGGCAUAGGGCAGCCCUCACCAAUGUGAGUGACUAGACACCACAUCUUGACCAGCUCGUCCCAACGGAGGGAAGAGGCCUCCUCAGCGCGGUAAGCUCCAUUUCCUGUCGCUUGUUUAAGGCGAUACGGUAUCUCCAUACUUUUCUAACUAAGUCAAUUGAAAAUGACAUCGGCUAGUGAGUAAACGAGCUUCGGAAUCGGAUCAAAGCCAAGAACCGAGGUCUGGAGUGUCCGGAUCAGACUAAGAAGAAAGGUAAGGUGUUCGCGAUUUCGAAGAAAAGUAGCAUGUGCUCCGUUCUAGGCUGGCUCGCUUAGUCUUCAAUACAUCACAUCGUCAAUGUCAAUGGCUGCUAACGCCGCGACGAGGGCGCUACGGGUUGUUGUCUUCCUUUCUUUUUUUUGCUAAGGCUAGCUUUCCUAAGACAGUUCCUAUGCUUGAUCGAAGUUCUCCUAUGGCCGCAGAAGAGUCCCGAGGUUUUCCGCUAUUCAAAUCGUAUUUUAUUUGUAGAUGGAGGUAAUGUGUCACCCUAAACGGAAAGUCUAUCAUGUUUCCGCUCCCUCCUCUACUAUCCAAAGGCAUCGCUGCUGUCUGUGCCAACGUCGAUGUAGUUCCCAAUCCUUUCAGAAUUCAGCCAUAUUAUGGACACGAGAGCGCAGAGGGCGAAGAAGAGGGAAGAGCCGUGACGGGUGAGCACGGAGAACCGUCGGGAGACGAAGAGAAAACAGCAACGACCAGAAGACAUAUACGAAAAUAAAAACUCUCAUAGUAGAGUGGAUGGCAGGAAUGGUUACCAGAAAAUGACAGAUUCAUAUAUGUCAUUUUUGGGGACGUCUUUUUAGUUAGAUUUAGGAACUCUAAUUUGCAUAUAGAAAGAAGGUCUCAAUUCUACUCUGUUAUGAGCAUCGCUAAACCACUUCAUUCUUAUGCUCGAAACCUCCCCUUUUACAGCUAGGUUCUGAAAGAACUAUGGUAUGGCCGGGAAACUGCUGAAGAUACCUGAUACACCGACGCGGAUUUCGUAGAGUUGGUUGGUCUUUUUUUUGUAAUGGGCGAAUUAGGUAUCGUAAGUAAUGAAAAGCAGAUUAGCGGCGCCUCGUUGAAUGAAAUAGGCCUUCGAUCGGGCUACCGACUGCCUUCACUUACUGCCGGAGUCAGGAAUUGCGUAAGUAAGAUAAGAGCAAAGAUCUUCGUCCUAACAAGGGGCUUCCGUUGGGGGCAUUCAACUAUGUUGUAAAGCCCAGAUUCUCGAAUCAACCACUCAUCCUAGUUAGGUUCGCUUUGCUCACCCUCAUCGUUCUGCCGGGGAACCCGGGUAGGACAAGCAAUGGACGGGUCUCAAUCGAGAGUUUCCUCUCACACAAGUGGGAAGGUCGUCUACGGCACAAGCUAGAGUUCAGUAAAAAAGGAUAUGAAGCUAACGGCGAGGCGGGGCUUGAGGAUCCAGAAGGGUAGAUCAGUUAUAAGUAUGCUUUUCACAAGUCACUUGAUUCUUCAUCGAAGGAGAUUCUAUUUUAUUAGAGGGAGACCCCAAGACUAAUGAUAAAGGAAAGAAAGCGAGAAGGGAGGAGAAAUGUUGAAUAAUCUAUGCAAUUCGACAUCUUAUUUAUGUCUGUUGGCCCUGAUUAUAAUUAUGUUUAGUAGAGGCUGCAAAAGCCCAACCUUUUCCGCCCUAGAGCAUGUUCAAAUCUCAUGAACAAAGCGUGUUUUUGAACAGAAACCUUGAAUCACGAUAAUAUACGGGAGCUAUUCUUUGCUUCUAUCCAUCCAGCUAGGACUGGGUAUCUGCUAACGGAUGAUGCCUACUGGAAUAACGAAAAGAGUGGGUAUUCAAGUUGAUCUGCUCCCGGGGAUGGGGAAACUAUGGUGUUCUAGAGUCCCGUCAUAUCCAUGCAUCUUCAGAAAAAAGCCUCCUCGGUACCAAGGGAGUAAUGAAUUGCAGCAUUCUACGGCGGAUUGAUUCGAACUGCGACGAGACCCGGAACGAACAAGGUCGCUUCAAACACUCAUUCAAAGGGCGUGUGGCUCAGCUGGUAGAGCAUUGGUCCAACCGGAGAUACGAAUGUUGUUCGUACCUCACUUCCACCUCUGUCUCUAUGUCCCACCCAUUCGAAACGACAACAUGUUAGGUACUUGAAUAGCAAUCCUGCUCACCUGUUGGGGUGAGGGAAACGAGAGAACGAUCCCACCUUCCAGGUGAUCGGAACUAGUCAUCUACUAUUAUGUAUCCCAUUCAUUCAAGACAUCCCCUCUCUUAGUAUGAUUCAAAAGCUGCGGUUGGAGAGGAGGACUGGAAAUCUAAUGAAUAUUGCUCUUAAUUCUANNNNNNNNNNNNNNNNNNNNNNNNNNNNNNNNNNNNNNNNNNNNNNNNNNNNNNNNNNNNNNNNNNNNNNNNNNNNNNNNNNNNNNNNNNNNNNNNNNNNUUGCAGGUCCUAUAUUUAGGAAUGCUAAAUCGGAACCGAUUGAAAAGUGUUCUUAGUCUGCAUCCAUUCCUUCAUCCCUUGAGUACGAUAGCUAUUCAAAGCAAAGAGAAAAAAAUGGUGAUAAGAUCGGGAUUUUCUGCUUUCUUAGCCUAGUCUGUUAACGGAGGAGAAAGGGAAAUCUCGCCCUUCGGGCAACACCAAGGCAAGAUCGAUUCAAGUACAAACCGAAGCCCAAUUGCAGCUACGCCUUUUCAGAAAGCCCUUACUCAAAUAAAUUCAAUAGCAGCUCUUCCCCCUUUCCUGUUUAGGAAGAUAGCAGCCGGUUUCAACUAAAGAGCUCAUUAUCUCUAUUAUUCUUAAGGGAAUAAAACGAGAUAAUAAAGAAAUAAGAAAAGAAAGGAUCAAGGGGUUAGCGAACGGGGGCCCCAUCCCGUCCUUCCUCUCGUCGUCGCUAUCACUCCAGCCUUUCACUUUAACCGGGCAUAGGCCCUCUUUCCUAAUUCAUCUACUGGUCUUAUCUUACAAGCCCCAGAAUGAGAGAAGGACUUCCCGAUAGGAGAAGUCUGAGCGGGAUCUUCAUUAAUGUUUUCUAUAAUUCAUAGGUACUCUUCCCGGUGGCUGAAAUUCAAUCUAUAAGGAAGAGAAGGCCAUGGUCAAAGCAGAAGCAUUAACGGAAAGAUGCGCUUGGUUGGCUUGGCGACUAUUAGGACUUUCAUAGUAGCUAAGAAGCUGCAAGAGAACUUCACACCUCCCAUAUUAGGGAGAGACACAAAGGGAAGGGAGUGGGAAGGAGGGCUAAGCAGGAACAACCAUUCCAACUAUCCGCUGCAACCAACCGACAAAGACCUUUAUCGCAGGUUAGAGGAAAGCAUAAUAGAGUUUUCUGCAAAAAAUCCGGUACGGCCUGACUUGAAAGGGGGGAAGGCUUUUAAGGACUAUUUGCUGCUUUCGAAACACUCCUUAUCGGUCCAAACAACCGCUAUUGAGAUUCUCUGCUGCUGGAGGGAACUUGCUUACAACUUCUUCAAUUCGAUUACGUUACGUAUAGAAGUGAAAAACGUAUGCUUGAUCCGAAUCUGAACAAAGAUCAUUAAUGGUGGAUUCUCUCUAUUCCGGAAUGAGAGAUGAUCGGAUUGAAACAGAAGAAGGAGGGAGGAGUUGUUCAUUCCUGUGUUGGCUGCUAGAGAGGAGAGACUAUUGAGGAGGGGUCCGGUUUCGAAAAAAAGAAAGUCGACUGAAAUGCAGAGUAGGGAGUCAGAGGAAUUUUGCUUUUCCUCUCGAAGAAGUCGCUUUUUUCAGUAGUUUGCCACGGGUCAUUUGCCAGCGAUGGAUAAGCUUUCUCGAUUGAAUCAUUCCCGGACAGAAUGAACGGGGAAAAGCGAAGACGCAUGAUGAACUAGCUCUCGGCUAAGGCUCGUACUUCUAGUGGCACCACCCAGCGUAGAAAACGGAAGGAAGUCGCUCUCCUCUUCUACCGCACCACUAAAAAGAAAAAGAUAAGAUAUAUUCUCAAUUUCAUAUCCGGAAAGAGAGGAGCUGAAGGCCUCAACCGAUAGGGAGAGCAGUGGCAGCUCCCUUACUUGAUUGGCAGGACAGAACAGACUGGCACUACUACUAGCUCAACUACCCUCUUAAUGGACUCCGCCGUUAACGGCUUUAUCAUGCUAUCUUUAUGUGUUGAUCCGUUAAAUGAAGGUAAGGAUAGCAUGUUGGUUUGUUCACACAGGCAGCGUGAUUGGGGGCUUCGCAAGGUAGUUAGUUUGUUCAUCAAACAGGCAUGAUUCAACUGCUGCAAACUAGUUAGUUUGUUCAUCAAAUUCGUGCCGCAUGGCUAUACUAUACACUCUAAAAAUAGAGGGUCUGCAAGAGAAGCCAUAAGCCUUCGUGCUCUAAAAGAAAAUCAAAGCAUUUUUGGAGGUUGCUGAACUAUGUCUAUGGCUAUGGCACAAAGGCUUGCUCAACUUGGAGAAGAAAUCGAACGCGUCGAGAACCAGCUCUUCUUUCCUCAUCCUCUGAGGUUACCCGUAAAUCUACCCUUCAGAUCUUACCACCGAACUUACCUUCUGCGCUCUUCGAAUUUCCGAUUCUACGGAAUGUUAGUUUUCAAUCUCAUUUGAGUAGGUGAGAAGUAUCAGGCUUUCAUCCGAUUUUUUGUGGAUGUGGAUUGGAUGAUGGAUAAAGCAGCGAGUAGGGUCUUGCUUAGGUUGAACAUGCAACUAAAGGGCAUAGUUAUGUAAAUGCAAGGGUUUCUCCAGCCUAUGAAAAGAAGGAUGGUCCCGGACCGACCUACCGUUAGCUUUGCUAAAGCAGUAGUACCAGGGUAAAGACAGGUGGCAUAGGGCAGCCCUCACCAAUGUGAGUGACUAGACACCACAUCUUGACCAGCUCGUCCCAACGGAGGGAAGAGGCCUCCUCAGCGCGGUAAGCUCCAUUUCCUGUCGCUUGUUUAAGGCGAUACGGUAUCUCCAUACUUUUCUAACUAAGUCAAUUGAAAAUGACAUCGGCUAGUGAGUAAACGAGCUUCGGAAUCGGAUCAAAGCCAAGAACCGAGGUCUGGAGUGUCCGGAUCAGACUAAGAAGAAAGGUAAGGUGUUCGCGAUUUCGAAGAAAAGUAGCAUGUGCUCCGUUCUAGGCUGGCUCGCUUAGUCUUCAAUACAUCACAUCGUCAAUGUCAAUGGCUGCUAACGCCGCGACGAGGGCGCUACGGGUUGUUGUCUUCCUUUCUUUUUUUUGCUAAGGCUAGCUUUCCUAAGACAGUUCCUAUGCUUGAUCGAAGUUCUCCUAUGGCCGCAGAAGAGUCCCGAGGUUUUCCGCUAUUCAAAUCGUAUUUUAUUUGUAGAUGGAGGUAAUGUGUCACCCUAAACGGAAAGUCUAUCAUGUUUCCGCUCCCUCCUCUACUAUCCAAAGGCAUCGCUGCUGUCUGUGCCAACGUCGAUGUAGUUCCCAAUCCUUUCAGAAUUCAGCCAUAUUAUGGACACGAGAGCGCAGAGGGCGAAGAAGAGGGAAGAGCCGUGACGGGUGAGCACGGAGAACCGUCGGGAGACGAAGAGAAAACAGCAACGACCAGAAGACAUAUACGAAAAUAAAAACUCUCAUAGUAGAGUGGAUGGCAGGAAUGGUUACCAGAAAAUGACAGAUUCAUAUAUGUCAUUUUUGGGGACGUCUUUUUAGUUAGAUUUAGGAACUCUAAUUUGCAUAUAGAAAGAAGGUCUCAAUUCUACUCUGUUAUGAGCAUCGCUAAACCACUUCAUUCUUAUGCUCGAAACCUCCCCUUUUACAGCUAGGUUCUGAAAGAACUAUGGUAUGGCCGGGAAACUGCUGAAGAUACCUGAUACACCGACGCGGAUUUCGUAGAGUUGGUUGGUCUUUUUUUUGUAAUGGGCGAAUUUUCAAACGGAACGAACAGAGAUAGAAUCAGACCCAGAUUUAUAUUGACAUCUGGCAGAUCCCAGUCUAAAUCUAUUACCUGAUCCAAAUCAGGGUUUUAUGAAAAAAGCCAAAGCCCCUUAUCGGAUUUGAACCGAUGACUUACGCCUUACCAUGGCGUUACUCUACCGCUGAGGCAGCUUGGUAGCGCCUUUGUUUUGGGUAAAAAAUGUCACGGGUUCCAAUCCAAUCCAUAUCCGGUUCAUCCUUCGGAACCAUAUCACAUCCCGGAUAUGAUGAAAUAGGAUGAAUUGAGACGGUAUUUUGUAAAUACGUAAUUAUCUUGAAUAUAUUAACCAUUUCUUUCUUUUCCGAUCGCCUCGAAGCACCUCUUGCGCCUCCUCACAGAGCGAUUGAAGAAGCUCGACCUAAGGGAACGAGUGUAAUAAAAGGUUUUUCCUUACUUUCAGCACGAAUGGAAAAAAACAUCAUGAAUUAACAUUCACAUGAGAUUACCUGUGAGUCUUCUGCUUCCCUUGCCUUUACAGAAGGAACGAAGAAAAGGAAGAAGGAGCUGUUAAGUAAGAUGUGGCAUUAGACUGUUUUCAAAAAGGUUCUUGAGAUAGGCUUCUAGUCAACCGAUUAAGACUACUACUUCUUUCUAGUAGGCAUUAGAGCGAUGGACUGAGUCUUGAGAGGAAGCUCACUAGGAUUUCUAUUCUAUUAAUUAAUUCGUCGAGCUGCGAUAUUUAGGAAUUCCUUUCAAUCAAGAAGGAGCGAAUUUGGACAUAUUAUCCAAAUGGUUAACCCCGUCUAUAAACCUUUCGCUAGCCUAUUACGUUUUUCAGCAGCAAGCUACGGUCUAACGACCCCCUAACCUAGGUUGGGGCGAAAACUCCAAAACUCGGGUUAUUUUUGACCAGGAACAGGGCCUAUCACAAGAAUAUUUUUUUUAGUGGGGCGAUAGCUCUGAAAAGAAAGAUUGCCUAUCCUUUUGCUUUAUUUAUCACCAGGUAAAGAUGAAUACUAUAUGGUAGCGGCGGGAAAUUCUUUGGCCUUGAAUCAGGGUAUUCAGGAAGAACAGGUUGUUCCAGCUCGAUACCGUCAAAAAUUCCUGACUAUUGCGUGGGAACAGGUUCAUCUUCGAAGUAUUUUUUCCUUCCAAUAUAGGCGAUUUAGUAUUUCUUGAUUCAUUUCCAUCCAACCAAAAAGGUGUUUUUUCUGAUUGAGCGGAUUUUUUUCUAAAUCUUGAUAAAGCGUAAGAUAAAAAAUCUGGUUCUUAUGAAUUUUAUCAAUUUUUUGGUAAUUCUUACUUUCAAUCUUAGUAUUUUUAUUACUGUUGGGAUCCAUUUUGAUCCAGNNNNNNNNNNNNNNNNNNNNNNNNNNNNNNNNNNNNNNNNNNNNNNNNNNNNNNNNNNNNNNNNNNNNNNNNNNNNNNNNNNNNNNNNNNNNNNNNNNNNGUUGGCGUACGGUAUUCCCAUAAGCGAAGAUUUAGCAAAGGGCCUGGCCGCUGCGCCCGGAACAGAAGAGUCUUGUUCCUUGGACAUCGGAUCAAGGGAGGGACCAUUUGCAUGGACAAUGAGAAGGUGAAGGCCAUAGAGGAAUGGGAUCCCCCAUCAAAGGUAUAUGAGUUAAGAUCUUUUCUUGGCCUGGUAAACUACUAUCGUAGGUUCAUCCAAGGCUUUUCAGGUCGGGCUGCACCUUUGACUAAUCUCCUUAAGAAGAACCAACCAUGGCAUUGGACGAGAGAAUGUCAAGAGGCCUUUGAGGACUUAAAGGGAGCCAUCAUGGCUGAUCCGGUGCUGGCCUUGCCGGAUCAUGCUAAGCCGUUCGAGGUACAUACCGAUGCUUCGGACUAUGCCAUCGGUGGAGUUCUUAUGCAAGAGGGGCAUUCCUACAAAGGAAAUGAAAGAUUCAUUCAUGCAGGCAAGUUCCUGAACCGAGCUCACUUUUGAAUGGAAGGGAGGUAGGCCUUAUUUAGGCGGAAAUAGGAUUGACUACGGAUUCGAGCCAUAGCACAUGGUUUCAUAAAACCGCACGAAUCUUCGUUCUCGGUAGUUUCUUCCUAGCCCCCAGUUUGGCUCACUUCUCUUUCCUUCUUUUAUGCGGGCAUCAUGAGGCAGGAUUCGAGUCAACAGUUGACCCAGCAUAUCAUCGCCUUGGUAAGCUAUUGCCUCACCAACUAGCUAAUCAGACGCGAGCCCCUAAAGAGCAAACUGAUUCAACAAUCGCUAUUCUUUUUCACCGCUAACCGUGCCAUGAACAGCGUUCAGAGCCGAUUCUGUAACAGGAAAAGUUAAGACUGCCAUCCUAAGGUGCUGCUAAAUGGAUGGAUCUUAUCAACGUCCAUGAAUGAUAAAUCAUAGAUCGAACCGCCGAAUCGGAAAAAUUGUUUUGGUUGGGACAAGCUAUCGCAUGCAUGGAAGUGAGGCAAGCUCGAAGGGCUUGCUUAAUUGUGGUGUUUUGGAAUUCUUUUUCAUAUUGAAAAAGAAAUAAGAAUGGGAGGUGUUAAGCUUUUUAUCAUCCUGGCGUCGAGCUAUUUUUCCGCAGGAAAUUCCUGUUUUCAAACUUGCCUAAGCUCUCCAUAGCUUUAUUUUCUUCUUUUUUUGCUAUAGAGCUAGAGCUCGCAGGUUUAAAAAGGAGAACUUUGGUAGAUUUCCCCCAACGCAAUCCACAGAAAUUCCACGAAUCCCUUGGUGGAUAAGUCCGACGACUCCUACUUGGUCGGACAAAUCAUGGCGCCUAGGGUGAUUACCUUCUCCGAUGAUGGGAGAAAUGUGGAAACAAAUUAGUUAAACAGCUAGUCCUCUUCCCUUCCCCAAGGGAGCCAUAUGGAGACCGUGGCUGGUCAACCGCUAGGCUAUUUGUCCUCAACUGCUAAGAGAUAGGAGAGAAAGAUUACAUUAUCGAAAUGGAUAUGGAUAUCGUUCCUCUGUGCUCUUUCUUGCUACUUGCCUGUAGGGUUAGCACAAGCUAGGUUUUCCAUGGUGCGGCUGGAUCACCUCCUUUUCAGGGAGAGCUAAUGUUUGUUGGGUAUUUUGUUCUAAGGAGGGGGCUACUUGGCUUUAGUUUUUACAGCGUAUGAUUUGGCCUCUACGGAUGCAGAGAAAUAGGAAUCCCGAAGCUCCCCACAAAAUGAGGGUAGGCUGUCUCUCUCCGACCCGACUAUUUCUUCCUUUGAGGAAAUAGAGUAAGGGUCGACCUUCUUCCGGAAAAAGAGGGCUUGCUCGCCCCCGUCUUUCCUUUCGUGAGAACUCUCUUCUCUCUCUGUCUUUCCUUCUGUCAAACGUCUUGCGCUGUACCCUUAAGCCAGCUUUUGCGUCAAGGGGGUAGCCACCUCAGGCGACAUCGCGGUACAGUAGUACCAUCGACAGUAGUUCAACCACCGUCUGACCCACGAACGAAGUUGUGACCACUCGGAGAAAUCCUUAUGGCCACUAAAUAUAAAGAUUUGAUGCACUUUCUGGACACAGGAUCCAGAGUUUUUCGAGAAAAGGUCCCAUCCCUAAAUAUCAUGAUCGGGUCGACCAGGCCAGAUCAUUUAAGACCUCGGGAUGGGAUAUUCUGAGGUUUAGUGAGGGGAUAUUCUUUUGCCAGGAGAUAUUAUCAAGUAGUUGUUCUUUUAAGCUUUCCUUUGUGUUGUGACUUCUUUCUUCUCUACAAAUGGUAGAGCCACAGGUCAGUGGAGCAGGUGUAUCGUUUUCAUAGCAGGUUCAUUGCAGGCAUAGCAGUUUAUGGCUUUUCUAGCUGCUUUCUAUAUAAUAUAGUAUAGGAGGAGAACGCUUUCUAGCUAUAGAGCAGUUAUAUGACUUUCAUAGCGUUUAGUAGUUGUAGGGAUAGGUAGCUACAAGUAGUGCUUGAAUGGAAAGACUCUUUUGAGUUGUUUUCUAAAAAGAAGAAGUGCUUGAAACAUAGCUAACCCUUAUGAAGGCAAGAGUGCUUGAAGAGAAAGCUACCCAAAGGAGAAGCAGUAUACGCAAGGUCUAAGCCUUACAUAGUUGUCUUUGAGGAUGACCAUGACUGACUCGGAACUGGACCCCCUUUGGGAUGUUCACAUUCUUCCAGUCAAUAACAGGGAGGAUGGGCUGAUCAUCUAAUGGAUCCGCCCCACAGGAAUCCUUUGCGGCACCUUCAGAUAGGCAGAAACUGUAUGCAAAUCGCAACUGGAUCAAUCUUUGUUGGCUGGCUUGCUUUGUCCGCUAUCCUUCAUCCCAUCCGUCUUGUCCAGGCUGGUAAGGAGAGAAAGGGGGGAGAUGAAGUAGAAUCAAUUGAAGUGGAUGUUUCAGGAGUUCAUUCAAGCGUAGGGGUAGGGCUUCAUUCAAGCGUACGGACUUUAUUCGACUUUAGUUUAGUGAGUGGAUUCUGUUGUGGAUGAAUGCGCUUAAGCAAUAAUAGUGGUAGGACUUAGCCGCGCUCUGUUCUUGAUCGGUCGAAUCGAUCGCCAUGUUUCUGAGAUUCUUCUAAAUGCCCUUUCUCUUUCGUUAAUGGUUACGAUGUCAAUCGGGUACCCCAUUCAUCUAUCUUCUUUGAAAUGGAAUUUCCCGUUCUCCUGCUUCAGUUACAGCUUCUCCCGCUCCUGGAAUUCCUUAAAGUUUAUUAAUGCGAUUGACUUGCCCUCUUAUAAAUCAUCAAUUUUCGGAUAUUUUCGCCAUAUUCUAGGAGCCCAAACUAUGUGAUUAAAUAAAUCCUCCUCUAUCUGUUGCGGGUCGAGGGCUCCUUCUCCUUCGUGGGAUUGACGUGAGGGGGCAGGGAUGGCUAUAUUUCUGGGAGCGAACUCCGGGCGAAUAUGAAGCGCAUGGAUACAAGUUAGGCCUUGGAAUGAAAGACAAUAUGAAACAAUUCCAUUUCCGCACGCGAUUCGCCGUUGAAGGCUCCUUGAUUUGAUACGGUGUUUGGAAACAUCAUAUGGGCCAUCUCUCGUCACUCCACUUCCCCUUGCUCGGGACCUAAGAUGGGCUUAAUGAGAAAAUUUUUUUUGAUUCUAGUUAUUGACACGGUAACGAAUAACAAAGAUUAGGGAUACAAUUAAAUAUCUGUGACUAAUCCUUCGCCCCCCUUUUUCUCUUUUUUCCCCUUAUGGGCUUUUAGUUUAAUGUUUCUAUUCAGUGGACGUGGUUAUUGGCAAGAACUUAGGGUUUGUAGCGAAUAGCGGAAACAAGAGGAAUCGAAUUCUCUUUCUAUACGCAAUUACGAUAAGAGUAUAGUCAGCUCGGCUUCGCUCCUAAAAGCAGCCCUUCUCUUAUAUACGAGAGCACCCAAUUCAACUUCCAUCCUGCUUCAGGCACUAGUUCGGAUGGAAACCCUGAUCAGGCGGGUAGCCUAGCUAAUAAGAUCUGCAACUCAAAAGAGAAAAUCUUCAGCUCUAAGCAAAAGAAAAAACUUCUUCUUUACUUAUGCAAUUUUCUUUUCUUGAAUUGACACCUAUGUCAGUUCGAACCUGACGGGGUUGUUGUCUUGUCCCUCCGUCCUUUCAGGCAGGAAGCACUGAGUUACUUACGGAAUCUCAAAGAGUCGGACUAUGUUUUCUUCAAGCUCUCCCUUGUUUGGUUGGUAGACGGAGGAGACCGAGUAUUAGAAUUUCUAAUUUUAACUCUCGGUUAAGCAGUUCUUAAUUCUCGUAUGUGAUAGCAGAAAGAGCUAACAUAAGGGUCGCUACCACACAGGCAGUCAUCUCACUUGCUAAGCUUUAAGGAAAGUCUAACUAAUAUAGUUAUAGGGGGGGCUUUUAGAACCGACCGGAGUGAGAGAAUGAAAAGCUCGGAAAGACUAGGGAACUUGGCUGCGAGCUUCCCUUGUUGGAUUGGUUAAUAGUUCUGGAUCUGGGGAAGCUACCUUCGCUGACUCUUAUAAAACCCCUGGCUUCCCUAUAGAUUG
rnacentral:lncRNA from 1 species